UGCAGUCGAACGGUAACAGGCCGCAAGGUGCUGACGAGUGGCGAACGGGUGAGUAAUGCAUCGGAACGUGCCCAGUCGUGGGGGAUAACGCAGCGAAAGCUGUGCUAAUACCGCAUACGAUCUAUGGAUGAAAGCGGGGGACCAUAAGGCCUCGCGCGAUUGGAGCGGCCGAUGUCAGAUUAGCUAGUUGGUGGGGUAAAGGCCCACCAAGGCGACGAUCUGUAGCUGGUCUGAGAGGACGACCAGCCACACUGGAACUGAGACACGGUCCAGACUCCUACGGGAGGCAGCAGUGGGGAAUUUUGGACAAUGGGCGCAAGCCUGAUCCAGCAAUGCCGCGUGCAGGAAGAAGGCCUUCGGGUUGUAAACUGCUUUUGUACGGAACGAAACGGUCUGGGUUAAUACCUCGGGCUAAUGACGGUACCGUAAGAAUAAGCACCGGCUAACUACGUGCCAGCAGCCGCGGUAAUACGUAGGGUGCGAGCGUUAAUCGGAAUUACUGGGCGUAAAGCGUGCGCAGGCGGUUUUGUAAGACAGUCGUGAAAUCCCCGGGCUCAACCUGGGAAUUGCGAUUGUGACUGCAAAGCUGGAGUGCGGCAG
rnacentral:rRNA from 1 species